AACAUCUAAGUACCCCGAGGAAAAGAAAUCAACCGAGAUUCCCCCAGUAGCGGCGAGCGAACGGGGAGCAGCCCAGAGCCUGAAUCAGUGUGUGUGUUAGUGGAAGCGUCUGGAAAGGCGCGCGAUACAGGGUGACAGCCCCGUACACAAAAAUGCACAUGCUGUGAGCUCGAUGAGUAGGGCGGGACACGUGGUAUCCUGUCUGAAUAUGGGGGGACCAUCCUCCAAGGCUAAAUACUCCUGACUGACCGAUAGUGAACCAGUACCGUGAGGGAAAGGCGAAAAGAACCCCGGCGAGGGGAGUGAAAAAGAACCUGAAACCGUGUACGUACAAGCAGUGGGAGCACGCUUAGGCGUGUGACUGCGUACCUUUUGUAUAAUGGGUCAGCGACUUAUAUUCUGUAGCAAGGUUAACCGAAUAGGGGAGCCGAAGGGAAACCGAGUCUUAACUGGGCGUUAAGUUGCAGGGUAUAGACCCGAAACCCGGUGAUCUAGCCAUGGGCAGGUUGAAGGUUGGGUAACACUAACUGGAGGACCGAACCGACUAAUGUUGAAAAAUUAGCGGAUGACUUGUGGCUGGGGGUGAAAGGCCAAUCAAACCGGGAGAUAGCUGGUUCUCCCCGAAAGCUAUUUAGGUAGCGCCUCGUGAAUUCAUCUCCGGGGGUAGAGCACUGUUUCGGCAAGGGGGUCAUCCCGACUUACCAACCCGAUGCAAACUGCGAAUACCGGAGAAUGUUAUCACGGGAGACACACGGCGGGUGCUAACGUCCGUCGUGAAGAGGGAAACAACCCAGACCGCCAGCUAAGGUCCCAAAGUCAUGGUUAAGUGGGAAACGAUGUGGGAAGGCCCAGACAGCCAGGAUGUUGGCUUAGAAGCAGCCAUCAUUUAAAGAAAGCGUAAUAGCUCACUGGUCGAGUCGGCCUGCGCGGAAGAUGUAACGGGGCUAAACCAUGCACCGAAGCUGCGGCAGCGACGCUUAUGCGUUGUUGGGUAGGGGAGCGUUCUGUAAGCCUGUGAAGGUGUACUGUGAGGUAUGCUGGAGGUAUCAGAAGUGCGAAUGCUGACAUAAGUAACGAUAAAGCGGGUGAAAAGCCCGCUCGCCGGAAGACCAAGGGUUCCUGUCCAACGUUAAUCGGGGCAGGGUGAGUCGACCCCUAAGGCGAGGCCGAAAGGCGUAGUCGAUGGGAAACAGGUUAAUAUUCCUGUACUUGGUGUUACUGCGAAGGGGGGACGGAGAAGGCUAUGUUGGCCGGGCGACGGUUGUCCCGGUUUAAGCGUGUAGGCUGGUUUUCCAGGCAAAUCCGGAAAAUCAAGGCUGAGGCGUGAUGACGAGGCACUACGGUGCUGAAGCAACAAAUGCCCUGCUUCCAGGAAAAGCCUCUAAGCAUCAGGUAACAUCAAAUCGUACCCCAAACCGACACAGGUGGUCAGGUAGAGAAUACCAAGGCGCUUGAGAGAACUCGGGUGAAGGAACUAGGCAAAAUGGUGCCGUAACUUCGGGAGAAGGCACGCUGAUAUGUAGGUGAAGUCCCUCGCGGAUGGAGCUGAAAUCAGUCGAAGAUACCAGCUGGCUGCAACUGUUUAUUAAAAACACAGCACUGUGCAAACACGAAAGUGGACGUAUACGGUGUGACGCCUGCCCGGUGC
rnacentral:rRNA from 1 species